rnacentral:piRNA from 1 species
GUCCAGAAAUAAAAGGAGUACCUCUAACU